GACGAACGCUGGCGGCGUGCUUAACACAUGCAAGUCGAGCGGUAAGGCUCCUUCGGGAGUACACGAGCGGGCGAACGGGUGAGUAACACGUGAGCAAUCUGCCCAUCUCUUUGGAAUAAGCGUUGGAAACGACGUCUAAUGCCGAAUACGACCUCCUUUCGCAUGAUCGGAGGUGGAAAGCUCCGGCGGAGAUGGAUGAGCUCGCGGCCUAUCAGCUAGUUGGU
rnacentral:rRNA from 1 species